rnacentral:rRNA from 1 species
AUUGAACGCUGGCGGCAGGCCUAACACAUGCAAGUCGAGCGGGGUUUUCGGACCUAGCGGCGGACGGGUGAGUAAUGCGUAGGAAGCUGCCCGAUAGAGGGGGAUACCAGUUGGAAACGACUGUUAAUACCGCAUAAUGUCUACGGACCCAAGUGUGGGACCUUCGGGCCACAUGCUAUCGGAUGCGCCUACGUGGGAUUAGCUAGUUGGUGGGGUAAUGGCUCACCAAGGCGACGAUCUCUAGCUGGUUUGAGAGGAUGAUCAGCCACACUGGAACUGAGACACGGUCCAGACUCCUACGGGAGGCAGCAGUGGGGAAUAUUGGACAAUGGGCGCAAGCCUGAUCCAGCCAUGCCGCGUGUGUGAAGAAGGCCUUCGGGUUGUAAAGCACUUUCAGCGAGGAGGAAGGGGUUGUAGUUAAUAGCUGCAACCUUUGACGUUACUCGCAGAAGAAGCACCGGCUAACUCUGUGCCAGCAGCCGCCGUAAAAC